rnacentral:rRNA from 1 species
AGCGAACGCUGGCGGCAGGCCUAAUACAUGCAAGUCGAACGGAUCCUUCGGGAUUAGUGGCGGACGGGUGAGUAACACGUGGGAACGUGCCCUUUGGUUCGGAACAACUCAGGGAAACUUGAGCUAAUACCGGAUAAGCCCUUCGGGGAAGAUUUAUCGCCAUUGGAGCGGCCCGCGUCUGAUUAGCUAGUUGGUGGGGUAAAGGCCUACCAAGGCGACGAUCAGUAGCUGGUCUGAGAGGANGAUCAGCCACACUGGGACUGAGACACGGCCCAGACUCCUACGGGAGGCAGCAGUAGGGAAUCUUGCGCAAUGGGCGAAAGCCUGACGCAGCCAUGCCGCGUGAAUGAAUG